rnacentral:rRNA from 1 species
GUCAACGUCCAUACCACGUUGAAUACACCGGUUCUCGUCCGAGCAUCAUGUUAAACAACGUCGGGCGCGGUCAGUACUUGGAUGGGUGACCGCCUGGGAACGCCGCGCGACUUCUCCC